AGAGAAUCGUACCCCAAACCGACACAGGUGGUCCGGAUGAGAAUUCCAAGGCGCUUGAGAGAACUCGGGUGAAGGAACUAGGCAAAAUGACACCGUAACUUCGGGAGAAGGUGUGCCCCUGAUGGUGAAGCAUUUACUGCGUAAGCUAUUGGGGGUUGCAGAGACCAGGUGGCUGCAACUGUUUACUAAAAACAUAGCACUGUGCAAAAUCGAAAGAUGACGUAUACGGUGUGACGCCUGCCCGGUGCCGGAAGGUUAAUUGAUGGGGUUAGCUUAGGCGAAGCUCUUGAUCGAAGCCC
rnacentral:ncRNA from 2 species